rnacentral:lncRNA from 10 species
GAACGCAGCAUUUCAGGGACUGGAUGAGGAGCUUACGGUUUUUUACAGAGACAGGGUCUCCCUCUGUUGCCCAGGCUGGAGUGCAGUGGUACAAUUAUUGCUCACUGUAGCCUCCAACUCUUGUACUCAAGUAAUCCUCCCGCCUUGGCCUCCCAAAGCACUGGGAUUAUAGAAUCAUCAAUAUCUUGGAAGAAAAAGAAUGUUAAGAAAUAACAAAACAAUAAUUAUUAAGUACUUUCUUAAUCUCAUUAAUGGAGCUUUCUUGGUUCUUGGACUUUUAUUCAUGGGAUUUGGUGCAUGGCUCUUAUUAGAUAGAAAUAAUUUUUUAACAGCUUUUGAUGAAAAUAAUCACUUCAUAGUACCUAUUUCUCAAAUUUUGAUUGGAAUGGGAUCUUCUACUGUUCUUUUUUGUCUAUUGGGUUAUAUAGGAAUUCACAACGAAAUCAGAUGGCUCCUAAUUGUG